UGAAAUCUGGUACCUUCGGUGCCCGAGUUGUAAUUUGGAGAGGGCAACUUUGGGGCCGUUCCUUGUCUAUGUUCCUUGGAACAGGACGUCAUAGAGGGUGAGAAUCCCGUGUGGCGAGGAGUGCGGUUCUUUGUAAAGUGCCUUCGAAGAGUCGAGUUGUUUGGGAAUGCAGCUCUAAGUGGGUGGUAAAUUCCAUCUAAAGCUAAAUAUUGGCGAGAGACCGAUAGCGAACAAGUACAGUGAUGGAAAGAUGAAAAGAACUUUGAAAAGAGAGUGAAAAAGUACGUGAAAUUGUUGAAAGGGAAGGGCAUUUGAUCAGACAUGGUGUUUUGUGCCCUCUGCUCCUUGUGGGUAGGGGAAUCUCGCAUUUCACUGGGCCAGCAUCAGUUUUGGUGGCAGGAUAAAUCCAUAGGAAUGUAGCUUGCCUCGGUAAGUAUUAUAGCCUGUGGGAAUACUGCCAGCUGGGACUGAGGACUGCGACGUAAGUCAAGGAUGCUGGCAUAAUGGUUAUAUGCCGCCC
rnacentral:rRNA from 1 species